rnacentral:rRNA from 1 species
AGCAGCCGCGGUAAUUCCAGCUCCAAUAGCGUAUAUUAAAGUUGCUGCAGUUAAAAAGCUCGUAGUUGAAUUUCGGGGUCAAUAUGUUGGUCGUGCCUUGGUACGUACUAGCUUAUUGAUUUCUCCUUUCUGGCGAACCAUGAUGUCAUUAAUUUGGUGUCAUGGGGAAUCAGGACUGUUACUUUGAAAAAAUUAGAGUGUUUAAAGCAGGCUCGCGCUUGAAUACAUUAGCAUGGAAUAAUGAAAUAGGACAUUUGAUUCUAUUUUGUUGGUUUCUAGGAUCGAUGUAAUGAUUAAUAGGGAUAGUUGGGGGCAUUAGUAUUCAAUUGUCAGAGGUGAAAUUCUUGGAUUUAUUGAAGACUAACUACUGCGAAAGCAUUUGCCAAGGAUGUUUUCAUUAAUCAAAAACGAAAGUUAGGGGAUCGAAGACGAUCAGAUACCGUCGUAGUCUUAACCAUAAACUAUGCCGACUAGGGAUCGGAUGAUGUUAAUUUUUUAAUGACUCAUUCGGCGCCUUACG